rnacentral:rRNA from 1 species
UGCGUAGGGUGCAAGCGUUAUCCGGAAUUAUUGGGCGUAAAGAGCUCGUAGGCGGUUUGUCGCGUCUGCUGUGAAAACCCGAGGCUCAACCUCGGGCCUGCAGUGGGUACGGGCAGACUAGAGUGCGGUAGGGGAGAUUGGAAUUCCUGGUGUAGCGGUGGAAUGCGCAGAUAUCAGGAGGAACACCGAUGGCGAAGGCAGAUCUCUGGGCCGUAACUGACGCUGAGGAGCGAAAGCGUGGGGAGCGAACAGG